rnacentral:lncRNA from 1 species
AGCUAUCAAAUGCUCACGUUUUAUGAUUAAAUACCACCAAAUCCCAAUUCAUUAUCUGAGCAAUUGUAGGCAGUAGCUAGCUCCUGAUACUUCCAUGCCCUUGCGUAGUAUUCGAGAUUCUGUUGAGCUAGCGUACCUUUGUUCAGAAGACAAAUUCGUUUGCCCAAGAUGUCGGAGGACGCCUCUCAGCCCUGUGGGCUUUGGUAGUGGUGUAGAGUGUAGACACUCCACAGACCGUAUACACACAUGCAUGUGCAAUGACCAAACUACAACAAACUAUGAAAGAGGGAACAAUUCACUUCGAAUAGCAACAACAAUAAGUGGAGCAACAAACUACAAAAGUGUGGCAGGGUAGUAGUAAAAAGUAGGUGCCUGAAGUACACACAUUAAGGGAAAAAAACUAGUUUCAGUUUAUUGCACCAUCAGAUCAGUACAGACCUAACUCGUUUUAUUCCUUACAUAGGUUAGCCUGCAUGAACUCUAGCUUAGUCCUCGGACAAAAACACCACGUACUGAACUGCCUCAUAAGCUACACGAGAAUACAGCAUGAUAUAUGAAGCCUACCUAAAACCGAUCGAAUUAUUACCAUGCAGUGGCGGCGGCGGAAAUCUACUCCGGAGUAAUACCAGUAAGUAGUAAAGCUACAGGCUCUUCGCCACUUCGCCUAUGUAUAUAUAGUGACAAGUGAGCCACCACCCGCAGCAGAUCGCAUAACACACACCAGUUUCAUCAGAAGGUGGCUCCUCAGGCAGCAGGAGCGCAGUCAUAGUCGUCGUCAUCGUCGUCACUGUCUGUCUCCGCCAUCCUUCGUCGCGCGCUCAGACACCCAUCGCGAAGGGCGCCCGAGGAGGACGCAAUGCUGCCGCCUUGGACGAGGUAGCUGGCGGCCUCCGCUGACACUGGUGCCAUGGCAGUUUAAAGUGUGUGCGCGCGCGAAUUACAAGCUACUACCAAAUUAAUUGACGCCGAGCAGCAAGCUCUUGCUUCCUCAAGCCUCGGGGUAGAAGAAGAAGCUUCUACUGUGGAUGUGUUGUGCUAGUGCUAUCUUAGCAGUGAUGUGAGUACUGGGUAGUGUCUGUGAUUUUGCACGGAGAGGGAGUGGCCGCGUGUGGCGGUGGCUUUAUAGCGCGCGGCCGGCGGAGGGAAGCGUGGUGGCAUGCGGUGCGGCGAGGCCGGGAGCGUGCACCGGUGCGGCGCUGCGUGCAUGGCGCCCCCGGGGCACGGGCUCAGGGCGGGCACAGUCAGCACUCAGCAGCCGCGCGUCGACCCGCUUCCCCGGCCGCGGCCGCUGAAGGGUGGUGCCGGGUGCGUGCCGGGACCCCAAGCCAGAGAGGCCGCAGGCCGCAGCGUCCUCGCGCUCCGGUGGCGCCGAGCGUGCGCGCGCGACGUGGAGGUGCGGGAAUCGUAGCCGUUGGGCGCGUGCGCAGUGGGGACUAUCACUUUCCGCGCAAUCUAGCCGCCGAUCUCGCGACUUUCUUGGGAAUUAUUCGAUUUCCGUCGUGCUCGUGCGCCCCGGCGGCAAAGUAGAUUCGGGGACGCCGCGAUUAUCUGGGCCAAGCAGAAGCACAUGCGCCACAGCACUGCAGUGGCAUGGGUUAACAACGGUAAUUGGGUAGAGGGUCCUGUACGUAGAUACAAACGGUUCUUUACCUAUAGCUUCAAUGCCAAGUUCAGAGUCAGUUUAGAUUCUUUUUUACGCGCAAGUCAUUUUAUAAUCAGCUGUAGUCAAUGAUUAUAAAAUAACUUGCACAUAAAAAAAUUAUGACGAUGGAAAAUAAGCCUUACUCCAUAGAUGUAUAUAGGAGCUGUAGGGGCGCCGUCGUGCUAGGAUACGUUAGUUUGCACCUACCUACCAUGCACAAGUGUUUUCAUCGGUCACGUGGUGGAAAAACGUGAUGCCUAAGUUCCUCUCAGUUGUUAACGUAGAAGAUCACAAAAUAUCCAACAUGAACAACUAAAGCUUCACCACGCAAAGCGACCAGAAGCCUCGCCCUACUCAUUAUGUGGGAAAUAUGGAACGAGCGAAAUUCCCGAAUCUUCCGCCGACAUCACUAACGGCAAAAAUCAAAUCCUCAACCAACAUGUGGAUAGCAGCGGGAGCGAGAGACCUAGCGGCCCUUCUUUUGUAAACAUAAACUUAACACUCUGGGUGUCUCCCCGCUCUAUUUUUGCUUUUUUCCCCUUUUCCUCUUUUUUGCCCGGGCCGGCUGUAACCCUCCUCUAUCAAUGAAAUAGGCACACUCUCGUGCCCUUUUCCUUUAAAAAAAAACUAAAGCUUCACACACACACAUAUAUAGACACAAUGGGAGUGUAUCUUUUGUGCCAAGGGCAACUACCAACCUUUAGAUAUAAUAAGAUCAAAGUUUUUCUAGCAGAGCAUAUUCAAGAAAAUAAAAUAUCAUGGGGUGCCUAAAUAGACCAAAAGCUUUUUGAGCAAAUCGGCGGGGAGUCCCCAACCCUUUUUUUUAUAUAAAUAAUGGUGCAUGUACAAAGAAGUUUCAAAACUCACAGGCUCAAAGAGAAAAAGUGGGGUGAAGACAAAAGUUACAGAAUGCUUAUCCAAUUAUCCAAGGAAAGCCUCACUAUCGUUUUGGCUUGCAGUAUAACUAGAGCCGUUUCUUCUCUGAAAUCCAAUUUCCACUUAGCCAUAGACCGAAUACCAUUAUCAAAGAUAAUACUGUUGCGAUGACACCAAAUGCACCAACUAGCAAUAAUGAUAAUCUCCCUGAAAACUGUUCUCCCAAAAUUAACUCGAGCCUGAAUGACCAUGUCUAAAGGGGCAGCCAAAGAUCCCAUGCAAUUCCCAGAAAUGACCAGCACAUUUGAUUGAAGGGACACUCAAAGAAUAAGUGCAGAAAAUAUUCUUCAAAACCUGCAGAGCUACAUGCAUGUUCUUUCUUCUCAGGAGGUCUCUUAUAUUGAGGCGAUCUCUUAGCAAGAGCCAAAAGAAUAACUUGUGCUUGCUCCGAGUACAAAUUUCCACAUAAGUAUGGUGGGCGGGAUUUAUGGAUAUUGGAGUUAUGAGUAUUCAUCUCCUUUCCAAAUGGAUUGAUUGAUUAGAAAGAGGGGAUGACAUUGUGUGAUGAGAGUUGCUCAUUAUCUUGGCCAAAAAAAAGUAUACGCCUCCCCUUGCAUGACCUUCUCGCCCUUACCGGAGUCCGAUGGCAACAAGACAAAUUGUGCUAAAAUGCUAUAUAUCCAAGUCACUUGACAUAAUCAUAAUAAAGGAGGUUCAAGAUUACAAAAAGGAGAAAAUUUCAAGAAAUAGAAGGUAGUGGACCACUUAUAACACAAAGCCACAUGUUUUGUAUUUCUUUGCAAAACCAGACAUUUUACAAGAACCCUCACAUCUGACAUCCUGGUCCCACUCCUGCUUAGAUGGCUAUCCAAGGCAGAUGAUUUGCAUACACUGCCAAAGCCAAACUAUACUCCACAUCUACCUCGGUAGCUCCUAGCUAGUUUCUCCAUGUGAAACUCAUGGAAGUUGCCAAUCCCUCAGGCUUCAAAGUUAACGAUCAUAUGAGAUCCAUAUUUGCUUAGUGGUUUUGCGCACACUAUCAGGACUCCAGCCAUUCAAUUAAUCGCAUCAUCCUGCAUAAAAAAUCUGACGACCUUCCUCAUAUUGCACACAUUUGGACACUAAAUCACAAAAAUGAAAUGCCAAACAUUACUAAGUUGGUUGAAAAACUAAAUUCUUAAAACGUAUAAUAACCUACCAAGAGACACGUAUGGUAUUUAAAACUUCAAAGGCCCUACUACAUUUUCCAUGACAGGAUAUACCCCCAAAUAAAUCGUGAACUCAAAUUAGAAUACCCAAAUACAUCAUGUUCUGAAACUGAAUAAGUAAUUAGGCAUGUAGCUGGCUGCGUCAUACAGAGAGUGUCUUGUAGAGACGUAACUGACUUGUGUCCUAAUCAAGCUGAAGAAAUUUGGAACAGAUAAUUCAGUGCAAAAAAAUAUAUAUAUUGGACAAAAAAGAGGUACAAUCAAUCAGUCAUCAUUUGCCUCUGUUUCUGCAUAAUACCACCACGCAGCAACAUCUAAACUGUUGUUCAAAUUGUGUCAUGCAUCAAGAAAAAAUAUUGCAUUGUUCCAUGGAGGAAUGAAAAAAAAGAAAAAAAUCGUGCAUCUACACACACAAAAGGACUGCACAUACAGUAAAGAAACAUAUGGACACUAGAGGGUGUAGGAGACGCAAAGGAAUCGGAAACACAAACCUUGACAAUUGCUUAUGUGUUCCUUCAUAGAACAAGAACAUGCCCAUUAGAUAAACGGGCAUACUACUUAUUCAUUUACCUUAUUUUAGUAAUGAAUAUGCAACAUAUAUUCAAUUACUCUUGAGAAAAUUUCUUAUUUGACAGUAGAAGAUGACUAAAUUCCUUUUUUGACACUGAAAAUUUUUUCGUCCCUUAUAUGACAUCAAGUUCUAUCUUAUAUUCUUCAUCACUUUUGUCACAUGAGCCAAACAAACAGCCAUCAAAUCACCUCCAAAAUUAAUGAAACUUUUUUGAUAAUACAACAAAUGAAGAUGAGUCCAUAUUGACUAAAACCGCACAUGUACCUUUGCCAUUUUAAAAUUAAAAUUCACCAAAUCUGACUACUUUGAAGCAUAUUUGAAUUUUUAUGGUACCAAAAUAUUUUCCAAAAAUUAUGGAAAAACAGUUAAUAUUCCUUACAUGAGAUGUAGUCAUUAUUAAAUUAUUUUCUAUCAUAAUUUACAUAGAGAAUUACAAGGUUCUUUAAAAUUUUCCCAAAUUUAUGUUUCUUCAUAAUUCUCUAUGUAAGUUUUGCUAGGAAAUAAUUUAAUAAGUUCCAGCAUCUAAUGUGACAAAUAUUAGUUAUUUUAUUAUAAAUUUUGAAAGUUUUUUAGUGACAUAAAAAUUCAGAUAACUUAUAAAGAUAGCCUAAGUUGGUGAAUUUUAAUUUUAAAAUCAUAAAGGUAUAUGUUUCCUUUUAAUAAAUAUGGGUUCAUAUUCAUUUGUUGUAUCUCUACAAAAAGUUUCAUGAUUUUUGGAGGUGAUUUGGAAAUCGUUUCACCUGACUUAACUAACAUAAGUGACGGAAAUGUCAAAUAAGGAAUGAAAGUUAGAAGUAGGUGUCAUAUUAGGAAGGAAAAACUUUUCAGGGUCAAGAAAGGAAUUAACUCAUCUUCCAGUGCCAAAUAAGGAAUUUCCUCCUCAUUUUUAGGGGUCCAUGUUUAUAAAUUUUAACUAAUAAUUAGUCAAUGUUUAUGCAUAUGUUUAGUGUAUAAAAGUUGUAUCAAUAGAUUCAUAUUUCAAAUAUCUUGGGAUGUGACAUUGAUUUUUAGUGUUGGGUAAAAAUAUGUAAGAGAAGUUAUAGUCAUUGAAGACUUCUCCAAAUCUGGGUGCACCCUAUAAAAAGAAACGGCGUUUCAUUUGGCAAAGUAGAAUAAAAAAAGAACAUAUUUACAACAUGAAUGCAAUAUUUUCUUAAUAACUUGUGCUUUUAAAUUAACCUGAAAAGUAAGACACACUCAACCAAGAACUUUCAUUGGCUACAAUUAUGGUUUUGCUACACUUAUGAGAACCUAAAGUACUGUCCAAUACUCCCUUUGUCCGCAAAUAUAAGGGAUCUUGAGUUUGUCCUAAGUCAAAUUAUCCUAAGUUUAGUUUUCAAAAAUUAUCCUAAGUUUGAUCUAGACUAUAGAGAACAUAUUAACUUGUGCUACAUCAAAUAAGUAAACAAUGAAAAUAUAUUUCAUAAUGUACUUAUUUGAACUCACCACCAAGAUUAUAACGGACAGUAGUCUGUUAUCUUAAUUAUUUCUCAUGUGGAGCACUUGAAGUUUAUGUUUAAGUCUUCCCCUUUUCAAAGAGGGCUGUCAAUUAAUGUGUUCUACAUGCAGAAGCAUACCUGUGUGUGGGAUGUGGCAUGUCCAAUAAAGUGCAAAUCAAAGACAGAAACCAUCAAAUGAUCAUGUUUUAUGUAAAAUACACAUAAAUUCCAAUGCACUACCCAAGCAAUUGUAAUCCCAGAUACUUCCAUGUCCAUAUGCGUGUAGUAUAAUAAUAAAAUGUCCGUUGUCAGUAUUAUACAAAUUGACAAAGUCUGGACAUAGUAUCUCGUGAUGUGAGGAAAACAAACACUAGCUCUAACUAAUAGAGAUACAGUUGUGUACCUUUGUUAAGAGAAGAAAUUGGUUUGCCCAAGAGAGGUCUAAGGAUGCUCUCAGCCGUCUGGUAGCCGUGUAGCGACAGUGGACAAUCCACAGUCCGUACACGCAUGCGUGCAAUGACCAAACUACAACAAGCUACGACAGUGAGGCGACAACUCACUUCGAAUUGUACGAGCAUGAUCGAUCAGCAAAUAAAAGUGUACCUGGGUGAGCAGUAAAAAGUAGUUGUCCGAAGUACACACGUUGAGGAAAAACUAGUUUCAGUUUAUUGCAUCAUGAGAUCCGAAGUACAGACCUAACUCGAUGUCUUUUAAUGCUUCCAUAUAUAGGCUAGCCUGCAUGAAUUCUAGCUUAGUCCUGGGACUAAAACCACACUCAGCUGCCUAGCUACCUAAAACCGAUCGAAUUAGUAGUACUGCUACAAGCUCUUCGCCACCUACUGAGCCACCACGAGCAGCAGAUAGCAUAACACACACCAGUUUCAUCAGAACGGUGAGCGCAGUCAUAGUCGUCGUCGUCAUCGCUGUCUGUCUCCGCCAUCAUUCCUCGCGCGCUGCGCCACCGGCAAGGCGCGGCGUAAACGGCGCCCGAGGAGGAUGCAAUGCUGCCGCCCUGAACGAGGUAGCUGGCCGCCGAGACUGGUGCUAUGGCAAUUUGCAAGUGUGUGUGGGCAAGUGAGCUACUACCAAAUUAAUUGACGCCGCGCAGAAAGCUCUUGCUUGCUCGAGGUAGAAGAAGAUGCUCCUGCACUAAUAGAGAAUUGAGAUUUAGUCCCGGUUGGUAGGGUGCAAAUAUCCAUAUGCACGUGCGCGGUGCAUGGGAUUCGAACCCACAACCUCCAGCCUUGCAAGUAGCUUCCUUGCCAUCCCACCUACACACCACAUCUGACUAUAUAGGGGAUGCUAUCCUUUUGUAUUAACUCGUGGGGGACCCUUUUAUUUAUCCCAGUUGGUGUUCCAAAUCGGGAUAAAAGGGUUCGAGAGAUUUAGUCCUCUUCCAGUGACCUCGUUGGGGACCCUUUUAUCCCGGUUUGCAACACCAACCGGGAUAAAUGACCCCCUUUUAUCCUGGUUGGUAUUACAAACCAGGAUAAAAGGCUCUCGACCCUUUUAUCUCGGUUGGUGUUACCAACCGGGAUAAAAGGGGGGUCUUUUAUCCCGGUUGGUGUUUCAAACCGGGAAAAAAUGCCUCUCAGGAUCUUUUUUUCACACUAGCCUUUGCAACCGGGAUAAAAGGUCCCGGUUGGUGAGCCCCCACAGUGAAAAGAAUAAUUCACAACAUACAGCACGAAAAAGAAGUGAAUAGAAAAACAUUAAUAUUAAAGUGGAAAAGAUGGUCACAACAGCUUAUGAGGGCAUCUCGAUUCUCCUAUACUCCUAACAGAAAAAGCCUAUUACCAGGUAAAGCUUUCCUGGUGCAUUGGAGAUGAAAGCUGGCACCAUGGAAUAAAACCUUAUAGGAAUGCUAUAGUAGAUGGAGUUUGUAUGACUUUAGUAGCACAACAAGAAAAAGCAAUAAAAAAUAAAUAUCAUCCAUAGAAGCUAAAUUGGCAGCGGGUCUUUCAUAUGAGAUCAAGCACACCAAAUAAUCCUCAUUAUCAAUUUUAAAUCAACAGGAAAGUCAAAGAGCGGGCGUUACUUACGUCCAUGAAAAAAGAUGUAUGAGGACGCACUCAGCUCCCUAACACCCAUUCUGGCAAGAAUUCCUCUGUCUGUGGCUGUUGAUAGCAUUACAGUGAGAUCAACAUGAGAAAGUGGAGUCUCAGGACAGAUUCCAUCAAACACUAUAAGCAAAGAUCCAGUUUUAUCAUCUCCAGGUUCUUCACUAUCCAAUAGAGACCAGCCCUUCAACCUUCGUGUCACAGAGAUACCCAACAGUUCAAGUAUCUCUUUCUACAUCAGAUCUGAUUUUCUUUGGAGCUCCUUAAUAGCAACAUAUAGCUUCUUAGGUUUGAGGACCUGAUAAAUGACCCCCUUCUAUCCCGGGAUAAAAGGCUCUCGACCCUUUUAUCCCGGUUGGUGUUACCAACCGGGAUAAAAGACCCCUUUUAUCCCGGUUGGUGUUUCAAACCGGGAAAAAAUGCCUCUCAGGAUCUUUUUUUCACACUAGCCUUUGCAACCGGGAUAAAAGGUCCCGGUUGGUGAGCCCCCACAGGGAAAAGAAUAAUUCACAACAUACAGCACGAAAAAGAAGUGAAUAGAAAAACAUUAAUAUUAAAGUGGAAAAGAUGGUCACAACAGCUUAUGAGGGCAUCUCGAUUCUCCCAUACUCCUAACAGAGAAAACCUAUUACCAGGUAAAGCUUUCCUGGUGCAUUGGAGAUGAAAGCUGGCACCAUGGAAUAAAACCUUAUAGGAAUGCUAUAGUAGAUAGAGUUUGUAUGACUUUAGUAGCACAAUAAGAAAAAGCAAUAAAAAAUAAAUAUCAUCCAUAGAAGCUAAAUUGGCAGCGGGUCUUUCAUAUGAGAUCAAGCACACCAAAUAAUCCUCAUUAUCAAUUUUAAAUCAACAGGAAAAUCAAAGAGCGGGCGUUACUUACGUCCAUGAAAAAAGAUGUAUGAGGACGCACUCAGCUCCCUAACACCCAUUCUGGCAAGAAUUUCUCUGUCUGUGGCUGUUGAUAGCAUUACAGUGAGAUCAACAUGAGGAAGUGGAGUCUCAGGACAGAUUCCAUCAAACACUAUAAGCAAAGAUCCAGUUUUAUCAUCUCCAGGUUCUUCACUAUCCAAUAGAGACCAGCCCUUCAACCUUCGUGUCACAGAGGUACCCAACAGUUCAACUAUCUCUUUCUACAUCAGAUCUGAUUUUCUUUGGAGUUCCUUAAUAGCAACAUAUAGCUUCUUUAGUUUGAGGACCUGAUAAAUGACCCCCUUCAAUCCCGGGAUAAAAGGCUCUCGACCCUUUUAUCCCGGUUGGUAACUUUAUCCCGGUUGGUGUUACCAACCGGGAUAAAAGGGGGGGUCUUUUAUCCCGGUUGGUGUUUCAAACCGGGAUAAAAUGCCUCUUAGGAUCUUUUUCUCACACUAGCCUUUGCAACCGGGAUAAAAGGUCCCGGUUGGUGAGCCCCCACAGUGAAAAGAAUAAUUCACAACAUACAUGACGAAAAAGAAGUGAAUAGAAAAAUAUUAAUAUUAAAGUGAAAAAGAUGGUCACAACAGCUUAUGAGGGCAUCUCGAUUCUCCCAUACUCCUAAUAGAGAAAAUCUAUUACAAGGUAAAGCUUUCCUGGUGCAUUGGAGGUGAAAACUGGCACCAUGGAAUAAAACCUUAUAGGAAUGCUAUAGUAGAUGGAGUUUGUAUGACUUUAGUAGCACAACAAGAAAAAGCAAUAAAAAAUAAAUAUCAUCCAUAGAAGGUAAAUUGGCAGCGGGUCUUUCAUAUGAGAUCAAGCACACCAAAUAAUUCUUAUUAUCAAUUUUAAAUCAACAGGAAAGUCAAAGAGCGGGCGUUACUUACGUCCAUGAAAAAAGAUGUAUGAGGACGCACUCAGCUCCCUAACACCCAUUCUGGCAAGAAUUCCUCUGUCUGUGGCUGUUGAUAGCAUUACAGUGAGACCAACAUGAGGAAGUGGAGUCUCAGGACAGAUUCCAUCAAACACUAUAAGCAAAGAUCCAGUUUUAUCAUCUCCAGGUUCUUCACUAUCCAAUAGAGAUCAGCCCUUCAACCUUCGUGUCACAGAGGUACCCAACAGUUCAAGUAUCUCUUUCUGCAUCAGAUCUGAUUUUCUUUGGAGUUUCUUAAUAGCAACAUAUAGCUUCUUUGGUUUGAGGACCUGAUAAAUGACCCCCUUCUAUCCCGGGAUAAAAGGCUCUCGACCCUUUUAUCCCGGUUGGUGUUACCAACCAGGAUAAAAGGAGGGUCAAAUGGCUCUCAGGAUCUUUUUUUCACACUAGCGUUUGCAACCGGGAUAAAAGGUCCCGGUUGGUGAGCCCCCCACAGUGAAAAGAAUAAUUCACAACAUACAGCACGAAAAAGAAGUUAAUAGAAAAACAUUAAUAUUAAAGUGGAAAAGAUGGUCACAACAGCUUAUGAGGGCAUCUCGAUUCUCCUAUACUCCUAACAGAGAAAGCCUAUUACCAGGUAAAGCUUUCCUGGUGCAUUGGAGAUGAAAGCUGGCACCAUGGAAUAAAACCUUAUAGGAAUGCUAUAGUAGAUGGAGUUUGUAUGACUUUAGUAGCACAACAAGAAAAAGCAAUAAAAAAUAAAUAUCAUCCAUAGAAGCUAAAUUGGCAGCGGGUCUUUCAUAUGAGAUCAAGCACACCAAAUAAUCCUCAUUAUCAAUUUUAAAUCAACAGGAAAGUCAAAGAGCGGGCGUUACUUACGUCCAUGAAAAAAUAUGUAUGAGAACGCACUCAGCUCCCAAACACCCAUUCUGGCAAGAAAUCCUCUGUCUGUGGCUGUUGAGAGCAUUACAGUGAGAUCAACAUGAGGAAGUGGAGUCUCAGGACAGAUUCCAUCAAACACUAUAAGCAAAGAUCCAGUUUUAUCAUCUCCAGGUUCUUCACUAUCCAAUAGAGACCAGCCCUUCAACCUUCGUGUCACAGAGGUACCCAACAGUUCAAGUAUCUCUUUCUGCAUCAGAUCUGAUUUUCUUUGGAGUUCCUUAAUAGCAACAUAUAGCUUCUUUGGUUUGAGGACCUGAUAAAUGACCCCCUUCUAUCCCGGGAUAAAAGGCUCUCGACCCUUUUAUCCCGGUUGGUCAAAUGCCUCUCAGGAUCUUUUUUUCACACUAGCCUUUGCAACCGGGAUAAAAGGUCCCGGUUGGUGAGCCCCCCACAGUGAAAAGAAUAAUUCACAACAUACAACACGAAAAAGAAGUUAAUAGAAAAACAUUAAUAUUAAAGUGGAAAAGAUGGUCACAAUAGCUUAUGAGGGCAUCUCGAUUCUACUAUACUCCUAACAGAGAAAGCCUAUUACCAGGUAAAGCUUUCCUGGUGCAUUGGAGAUGAAAGCUGGCACCAUGGAAUAAAACCUUAUAGGAAUGCUAUAGUAGAUAGAGUUUGUAUGACUUUAGUAGCACAACAAGAAAAAGCAAUAAAAAAUAAAUAUCAUCCAUAGAAGUUAAAUUGGCAGCGGGUCUUUCAUAUGAGAUCAAGCACACCAAAUAAUCCUCAUUAUCAAUUUUAAAUCAACAGGAAAAUCAAAGAGCGGGCGUUACUUACGUCCAUGAAAAAAGAUGUAUGAGGACGCACUCAGCUCCCUAACACCCAUUCUGGCAAGAAUUUCUCUGUCUGUGGCUGUUGAUAGCAUUACAGUGAGAUCAACAUGAGGAAGUGGAGUCUCAGGACAGAUUCCAUCAAACACUAUAAGCAAAGAUCCAGUUUUAUCAUCUCCAGGUUCUUCACUAUCCAAUAGAGACCAGCCCUUCAACCUUCGUGUCACAGAGGUACCCAACAGUUCAACUAUCUCUUUCUACAUCAGAUCUGAUUUUCUUUGGAGUUCCUUAAUAGCAACAUAUAGCUUCUUUAGUUUGAGGACCUGAUAAAUGACCCCCUUCAAUCCCGGGAUAAAAGGCUCUCGACCCUUUUAUCCCGGUUGGUAACUUUAUCCCGGUUGGUGUUACCAACCGGGAUAAAAGGGGGGGUCUUUUAUCCCGGUUGGUGUUUCAAACCGGGAUAAAAUGCCUCUUAGGAUCUUUUUCUCACACUAGCCUUUGCAACCGGGAUAAAAGGUCCCGGUUGGUGAGCCCCCACAGUGAAAAGAAUAAUUCACAACAUACAUGACGAAAAAGAAGUGAAUAGAAAAAUAUUAAUAUUAAAGUGAAAAAGAUUGUCACAACAGCUUAUGAGGGCAUCUCGAUUCUCCCAUACUCCUAAUAGAGAAAAUCUAUUACAAGGUAAAGCUUUCCUGGUGCAUUGGAGGUGAAAACUGGCACCAUGGAAUAAAACCUUAUAGGAAUGCUAUAGUAGAUGGAGUUUGUAUGACUUUAGUAGCACAACAAGAAAAAGCAAUAAAAAAUAAAUAUCAUCCAUAGAAGGUAAAUUGGCAGCGGGUCUUUCAUAUGAGAUCAAGCACACCAAAUAAUUCUUAUUAUCAAUUUUAAAUCAACAGGAAAGUCAAAGAGCGGGCGUUACUUACGUCCAUGAAAAAAGAUGUAUGAGGACGCACUCAGCUCCCUAACACCCAUUCUGGCAAGAAUUCCUCUGUCUGUGGCUGUUGAUAGCAUUACAGUGAGACCAACAUGAGGAAGUGGAGUCUCAGGACAGAUUCCAUCAAACACUAUAAGCAAAGAUCCAGUUUUAUCAUCUCCAGGUUCUUCACUAUCCAAUAGAGAUCAGCCCUUCAACCUUCGUGUCACAGAGAUACCCAACAGUUCAAGUAUCUCUUUCUGCAUCAGAUCUGAUUUUCUUUGGAGUUUCUUAAUAGCAACAUAUAGCUUCUUUGGAUUGAGGACCUGAUAAAUGACCCCCUUCUAUCCCGGGAUAAAAGGCUCUCGACCCUUUUAUCCCGGUUGGUGUUACCAACCAGGAUAAAAGGAGGGUCAAAUGGCUCUCAGGAUCUUUUUUUCACACUAGCGUUUGCAACCGGGAUAAAAGGUCCCGGUUGGUGAGCCCCCCACAGUGAAAAGAAUAAUUCACAACAUACAGCACGAAAAAGAAGUUAAUAGAAAAACAUUAAUAUUAAAGUGGAAAAGAUGGUCACAACAGCUUAUGAGGGCAUCUCGAUUCUCCUAUACUCCUAACAGAGAAAGCCUAUUACCAGGUAAAGCUUUCCUGGUGCAUUGGAGAUGAAAGCUGGCACCAUGGAAUAAAACCUUAUAGGAAUGCUAUAGUAGAUGGAGUUUGUAUGACUUUAGUAGCACAACAAGAAAAAGCAAUAAAAAAUAAAUAUCAUCCAUAGAAGCUAAAUUGGCAGCGGGUCUUUCAUAUGAGAUCAAGCACACCAAAUAAUCCUCAUUAUCAAUUUUAAAUCAACAGGAAAGUCAAAGAGCGGGCGUUACUUACGUCCAUGAAAAAAUAUGUAUGAGAACGCACUCAGCUCCCAAACACCCAUUCUGGCAAGAAAUCCUCUGUCUGUGGCUGUUGAGAGCAUUACAGUGAGAUCAACAUGAGGAAGUGGAGUCUCAGGACAGAUUCCAUCAAACACUAUAAGCAAAGAUCCAGUUUUAUCAUCUCCAGGUUCUACACUAUCCAAUAGAGACCAGCCCUUCAACCUUCGUGUCACAGAGGUACCCAACAGUUCAAGUAUCUCUUUCUGCAUCAGAUCUGAUUUUCUUUGGAGUUCCUUAAUAGCAACAUAUAGCUUCUUUGGUUUGAGGACCUGAUAAAUGACCCCCUUCUAUCCCGGGAUAAAAGGCUCUCGACCCUUUUAUCCCGGUUGGUGUUACCAACCAGGAUAAAAGGAGGGUCAAAUGGCUCUCAGGAUCUUUUUUUCACACUAGCGUUUGCAACCGGGAUAAAAGGUCCCGGUUGGUGAGCCCCCCACAGUGAAAAGAAUAAUUCACAACAUACAGCACGAAAAAGAAGUUAAUAGAAAAACAUUAAUAUUAAAGUGGAAAAGAUGGUCACAACAGCUUAUGAGGGCAUCUCGAUUCUCCUAUACUCCUAACAGAGAAAGCCUAUUACCAGGUAAAGCUUUCCUGGUGCAUUGGAGAUGAAAGCUGGCACCAUGGAAUAAAACCUUAUAGGAAUGCUAUAGUAGAUGGAGUUUGUAUGACUUUAGUAGCACAACAAGAAAAAGCAAUAAAAAAUAAAUAUCAUCCAUAGAAGCUAAAUUGGCAGCGGGUCUUUCAUAUGAGAUCAAGCACACCAAAUAAUCCUCAUUAUCAAUUUUAAAUCAACAGGAAAGUCAAAGAGCGGGCGUUACUUACGUCCAUGAAAAAAUAUGUAUGAGAACGCACUCAGCUCCCAAACACCCAUUCUGGCAAGAAAUCCUCUGUCUGUGGCUGUUGAGAGCAUUACAGUGAGAUCAACAUGAGGAAGUGGAGUCUCAGGACAGAUUCCAUCAAACACUAUAAGCAAAGAUCCAGUUUUAUCAUCUCCAGGUUCUUCACUAUCCAAUAGAGACCAGCCCUUCAACCUUCGUGUCACAGAGGUACCCAACAGUUCAAGUAUCUCUUUCUGCAUCAGAUCUGAUUUUCUUUGGAGUUCCUUAAUAGCAACAUAUAGCUUCUUUGGUUUGAGGACCUGAUAAAUGACCCCCUUCUAUCCCGGGAUAAAAGGCUCUCGACCCUUUUAUCCCGGUUGGUCAAAUGCCUCUCAGGAUCUUUUUUUCACACUAGCCUUUGCAACCGGGAUAAAAGGUCCCGGUUGGUGAGCCCCCCACAGUGAAAAGAAUAAUUCACAACAUACAACACGAAAAAGAAGUUAAUAGAAAAACAUUAAUAUUAAAGUGGAAAAGAUGGUCACAAUAGCUUAUGAGGGCAUCUCGAUUCUACUAUACUCCUAACAGAGAAAGCCUAUUACCAGGUAAAGCUUUCCUGGUGCAUUGGAGAUGAAAGCUGGCACCAUGGAAUAAAACCUUAUAGGAAUGCUAUAGUAGAUAGAGUUUGUAUGACUUUAGUAGCACAACAAGAAAAAGCAAUAAAAAAUAAAUAUCAUCCAUAGAAGUUAAAUUGGCAGCGGGUCUUUCAUAUGAGAUCAAGCACACCAAAUAAUCCUCAUUAUCAAUUUUAAAUCAACAGGAAAAUCAAAGAGCGGGCGUUACUUACGUCCAUGAAAAAAGAUGUAUGAGGACGCACUCAGCUCCCUAACACCCAUUCUGGCAAGAAUUUCUCUGUCUGUGGCUGUUGAUAGCAUUACAGUGAGAUCAACAUGAGGAAGUGGAGUCUCAGGACAGAUUCCAUCAAACACUAUAAGCAAAGAUCCAGUUUUAUCAUCUCCAGGUUCUUCACUAUCCAAUAGAGACCAGCCCUUCAACCUUCGUGUCACAGAGGUACCCAACAGUUCAACUAUCUCUUUCUACAUCAGAUCUGAUUUUCUUUGGAGUUCCUUAAUAGCAACAUAUAGCUUCUUUAGUUUGAGGACCUGAUAAAUGACCCCCUUCAAUCCCGGGAUAAAAGGCUCUCGACCCUUUUAUCCCGGUUGGUAACUUUAUCCCGGUUGGUGUUACCAACCGGGAUAAAAGGGGGGGUCUUUUAUCCCGGUUGGUGUUUCAAACCGGGAUAAAAUGCCUCUUAGGAUCUUUUUCUCACACUAGCCUUUGCAAUCGGGAUAAAAGGUCCCGGUUGGUGAGCCCCCACAGUGAAAAGAAUAAUUCACAACAUACAUGACGAAAAAGAAGUGAAUAGAAAAAUAUUAAUAUUAAAGUGAAAAAGAUUGUCACAACAGCUUAUGAGGGCAUCUCGAUUCUCCCAUACUCCUAAUAGAGAAAAUCUAUUACAAGGUAAAGCUUUCCUGGUGCAUUGGAGGUGAAAACUGGCACCAUGGAAUAAAACCUUAUAGGAAUGCUAUAGUAGAUGGAGUUUGUAUGACUUUAGUAGCACAACAAGAAAAAGCAAUAAAAAAUAAAUAUCAUCCAUAGAAGGUAAAUUGGCAGCGGGUCUUUCAUAUGAGAUCAAGCACACCAAAUAAUUCUUAUUAUCAAUUUUAAAUCAACAGGAAAGUCAAAGAGCGGGCGUUACUUACGUCCAUGAAAAAAGAUGUAUGAGGACGCACUCAGCUCCCUAACACCCAUUCUGGCAAGAAUUCCUCUGUCUGUGGCUGUUGAUAGCAUUACAGUGAGACCAACAUGAGGAAGUGGAGUCUCAGGACAGAUUCCAUCAAACACUAUAAGCAAAGAUCCAGUUUUAUCAUCUCCAGGUUCUUCACUAUCCAAUAGAGAUCAGCCCUUCAACCUUCGUGUCACAGAGAUACCCAACAGUUCAAGUAUCUCUUUCUGCAUCAGAUCUGAUUUUCUUUGGAGUUUCUUAAUAGCAACAUAUAGCUUCUUUGGUUUGAGGACCUGAUAAAUGACCCCCUUCUAUCCCGGGAUAAAAGGCUCUCGACCCUUUUAUCCCGGUUGGUGUUACCAACCAGGAUAAAAGGAGGGUCAAAUGGCUCUCAGGAUCUUUUUUUCACACUAGCGUUUGCAACCGGGAUAAAAGGUCCCGGUUGGUGAGCCCCCCACAGUGAAAAGAAUAAUUCACAACAUACAGCACGAAAAAGAAGUUAAUAGAAAAACAUUAAUAUUAAAGUGGAAAAGAUGGUCACAACAGCUUAUGAGGGCAUCUCGAUUCUCCUAUACUCCUAACAGAGAAAGCCUAUUACCAGGUAAAGCUUUCCUGGUGCAUUGGAGAUGAAAGCUGGCACCAUGGAAUAAAACCUUAUAGGAAUGCUAUAGUAGAUGGAGUUUGUAUGACUUUAGUAGCACAACAAGAAAAAGCAAUAAAAAAUAAAUAUCAUCCAUAGAAGCUAAAUUGGCAGCGGGUCUUUCAUAUGAGAUCAAGCACACCAAAUAAUCCUCAUUAUCAAUUUUAAAUCAACAGGAAAGUCAAAGAGCGGGCGUUACUUACGUCCAUGAAAAAAUAUGUAUGAGAACGCACUCAGCUCCCAAACACCCAUUCUGGCAAGAAAUCCUCUGUCUGUGGCUGUUGAGAGCAUUACAGUGAGAUCAACAUGAGGAAGUGGAGUCUCAGGACAGAUUCCAUCAAACACUAUAAGCAAAGAUCCAGUUUUAUCAUCUCCAGGUUCUACACUAUCCAAUAGAGACCAGCCCUUCAACCUUCGUGUCACAGAGGUACCCAACAGUUCAAGUAUCUCUUUCUGCAUCAGAUCUGAUUUUCUUUGGAGUUCCUUAAUAGCAACAUAUAGCUUCUUUGGUUUGAGGACCUGAUAAAUGACCCCCUUCUAUCCCGGGAUAAAAGGCUCUCGACCCUUUUAUCCCGGUUGGUCAAAUGCCUCUCAGGAUCUUUUUUUCACACUAGCCUUUGCAACCGGGAUAAAAGGUCCCGGUUGGUGAGCCCCCCACAGUGAAAAGAAUAAUUCACAACAUACAACACGAAAAAGAAGUUAAUAGAAAAACAUUAAUAUUAAAGUGGAAAAGAUGGUCACAAUAGCUUAUGAGGGCAUCUCGAUUCUACUAUACUCCUAACAGAGAAAUCCUAUUACCAGGUAAAGCUUUCCUGGUGCAUUGGAGAUGAAAGCUGGCACCAUGGAAUAAAACCUUAUAGGAAUGCUAUAGUAGAUGGAGUUUGUAUGACUUUUGUAGCACAACAAGGAAAAGCAAUACAAAAUAAAUAUCAUCCAUAGAAGCUAAAUUGGCAGCGGGUCUUUCAUAUGAGAUCAAGCACACCAAAUAAUCCUCAUUAUCAAUUUAAAUCAACAGGAAAGUCAAAGAGCGGGCGUUACUUACGUCCAUGAAAAAAGAUGUAUGAGGACGCACUCAGCUCCCUAACACCCGUUCUGGCAAAAAUUCCUCUGUCUGUGGCUGUUGAUAGCAUUACAGUGAGAUCAACAUGCGGAAGUGGAGUCGCAGGACAGAUUCCAUCAAACACUAUAAGCAAAGAUCCAGUUUUAUCAUCUCCAGGUUCUUCACUAUCCAAUAGAGACCAGCCCUUCAACCUUCGUGUCACAGAGGUACCCAACAGUUCAAGUAUCUCUUUCUGCAUCAGAUCUGAUUUUCUUUGGAGUUCCUUAAUAGCAACAUAUAACUUCUUUGGUUUGAGGACCUGAUAUAUGACCCCCUUCUAUCCCGGGAUAAAAGGCUCUCCCGGUUGGUGUUACCAACCGGGAUAAAAGGGGGGGUCUUUUAUCCCGGUUGGUGUUUCAAACCGGGAUAAAAUGCCUCUCAGGAUCUUUUUUUCACACUAGCCUUUGCAACCGGGAUAAAAGGUCCCGGUUGGUGAGCCCCCCACAGUGAAAAGAAUAAUUCACAACAUACAGCACGAAAAAGAAGUUAAUAGAAAAACAUUAAUAUUAAAGUGGAAAAGAUGGUCACAACAGCUUAUGAGGGCAUCUCGAUUCUCCUAUACUCCUAACAGAGAAAGCCUAUUACCAGGUAAAGCUUUCCUGGUGCAUUGGAGAUGAAAGCUGGCACCAUGGAAUAAAACCUUAUAGGAAUGCUAUAGUAGAUGGAGUUUGUAUGACUUUAGUAGCACAACAAGAAAAAGCAAUAAAAAAUAAAUAUCAUCCAUAGAAGCUAAAUUGGCAGCGGGUCUUUCAUAUGAGAUAAAGCACACCAAAUAAUCCUCAUUAUCAAUUUUAAAUCAAUAGGAAAGUCAAAGAGCGGGCGUUACUUACGUCCAUGAAAAAAGAUGUAUGAGGACGCACUCAGCUCCCAAACACCCAUUCUUGCAAGAAAUCCUCUGUCUGUGGCUGUUGAGAGCAUUACAGUGAGAUCAACAUGAGGAAGUGGAGUCUCAGGACAGAUUCCAUCAAACACUAUAAGCAAAGAUCCAGUUUUAUCAUCCCCAGGUUCUUCACUAUCCAAUAGAGACCAGCCCUUCAACCUUCGUGUCACAGAGGUACCCAACAGUUCAAGUAUCUCUUUCUGCAUCAGAUCUGAUUUUCUUUGGAGUUCCUUAAUAGCAACAUAUAGCUUCUUUGGUUUGAGGACCUGAUAAAUGACCCCCUUCUAUCCCGGGAUAAAAGGCUCUCGACCCUUUUAUCCCGGUUGGUAACACCAACCAGGAUAAAAGGGGGGUCAAAUGCCUCUCAGGAUCUUUUUUUCACACUAGCCUUUGCAACCGGGAUAAAAGGUCCCGGUUGGUGAGCCCCCCACAGUGAAAAGAAUAAUUCACAACAUACAGCACGAAAAAUAAAUUAAUAGAAAAACAUUAAUAUUAAAGUGGAAAAGAUGGUCACAACAGCUUAUGAGGGCAUCUCGAUUCUCCUAUACUCCUAACAGAGAAAGCCUAUUACCAGGUAAAGCUUUCCUGGUGCAUUGGAGAUGAAAGCUGGCACCAUGGAAUAAAACCUUAUAGGAAUGCUAUAGUAGAUGGAGUUUGUAUGACUUUAGUAGCACAACAAGGAAAAGCAAUAAAAAAUAAAUAUCAUCCAUAGAAGCUAAAUUGGCAGCGGGUCUUUCAUAUGAGAUCAAGCACACCAAAUAAUCCUCAUUAUCAAUUUUAAAUCAACAGGAAAGUCAAAGAGCGGGCGUUACUUACGUCCAUGAAAAAAGAUGUAUGAGGACGCACUCAGCUCCCAAACACCCAUUCUGGCAAGAAAUCCUCUGUCUGUGGCUGUUGAGAGCAUUACAGUGAGAUCAACAUGAGGAAGUGGAGUCUCAGGACAGAUUCCAUCAAACACUAUAAGCAAAGAUCCAGUUUUAUCAUCUCCAGGUUCUUCACUAUCCAAUAGAGACCAGCCCUUCAACCUUCGUGUCACAGAGGUACCCAACAGUUCAAGUAUCUCUUUCUGCAUCAGAUCUGAUUUUAUUUGGAGUUCCUUAAUAGCAACAUAUAGCUUCUUUGGUUUGAGGACCUGAUAAAUGACCCCCUUCUAUCCCGGGAUAAAAGCCUCUCGACCCUUUUAUCCCGGUUGGUGUUACCAACCAGGAUAAAAGGGGGGUCAAAUGCCUCUCAGGAUCUUUUUUUCACACUAGCCUUUGCAACCGGGAUAAAAGGUCCCGGUUGGUGACCCCCCACAGUGAAAAGAAUAAUUCACAACAUACAGCACGAAAAAGAAGUUAAUAGAAAAACAUUAAUAUUAAAGUGGAAAAGAUGGUCACAACAGCUUAUGAGGGUAUCUCGAUUCUCCUAUACUCCUAACAGAGAAAGCCUAUUACCAGGUAAAGAUUUCCUGGUGCAUUGGAGAUGAAAGCUGGCACCAUGGAAUAAAACCUUAUAGGAAUGCUAUAGUAGAUGGAGUUUGUAUGACUUUAGUAGCACAAAAAGAAAAAGCAAUAAAAAAUAAAUAUCAUCCAUAGAAGCUAAAUUGGCAGCGGGUCUUUCAUAUGAGAUCAAGCACACCAAAUAAUCCUUAUUAUCAAUUUUAAAUAAACAGGAAAGUCAAAGAGAGGGCGUUACUUACGUCCAUGAUAAAAGAUGUAUGAGGACGCACUCAGCUCCCUAACACCUAUUAUGGCAAGAAUUCCUCUGUCUGUAGCUGUUGAUAGCAUUACAGUGAGAUCAACAUGAGGAAGUGGAGUCUCAGGACAGAUUCCAUCAAACACUAUAAGCAAAGAUCCAGUUUUAUCAUCUCCACGUUCUUCACUAUCCAAUAGAGACCAGCCCUUCAACCUUCGUGUCACAGAGGUACCCAACAGUUCAAGUAUCUCUUUCUGCAUCAGAUCUGAUUUUCUUUGGAGUUCCUUAAUAGCAACAUAUAGCUUCUUUGGUUUGAGGACCUGAUAAAUGACCCCCUUCUAUCCCGGGAUAAAAGCCUCUCGACCCUUUUAUCCCGGUUGGUGUUACCAACCAGGAUAAAAGGGGGGUCAAAUGCCUCUCAGGAUCUUUUUUUCACACUAGCCUUUGCAACCGGGAUAAAAGGUCCCGGUUGGUGAGCCCCCCACAGUGAAAAGAAUAAUUCACAACAUACAGCACGAAAAAGAAGUUAAUAGAAAAACAUUAAUAUUAAAAUGGAAAAGAUGGUCACAACAGCUUAUGAGGGCAUCUCGAUUCUCCUAUACUCCUAACAGAGAAAGCCUAUUACCAGGUAAAGAUUUCCUGGUGCAUUGGAGAUGAAAGCUGGCACCAUGGAAUAAAACCUUAUAGGAAUGCUAUAGUAGAUGGAGUUUGUAUGACUUUAGUAGCACAACAAGAAAAAGCAAUAAAAAAUAAAUAUCAUCCAUAGAAGCUAAAUUGGCAGCGGGUCUUUCAUAUGAGAUCAAGCACACCAAAUAAUCCUUAUUAUCAAUUUUAAAUAAACAGGAAAGUCAAAGAGAGGGCGUUACUUACGUCCAUGAAAAAAGAUGUAUGAGGACGCACUCAGCUCCCUAACACCUAUUCUGGCAAGAAUUCCUCUGUCUGUGGCUGUUGAUAGCAUUACAGUGAGAUCAACAUGAGGAAGUGGAGUCUCAGGACAGAUUCCAUCAAACACUAUAAGCAAAGAUCCAGUUUUAUCAUCUCCAGGUUCUUCACUAUCCAAUAGAGACCAGCCCUUCAACCUUCGUGUCACAGAGGUACCCAACAGUUCAAGUAUCUCUUUCUGCAUCAGAUCUGAUUUUCUUUGGAGUUCCUUAAUAGCAACAUAUAGCUUCUUUGGUUUGAGGACCUGAUAAAUGACCCCCUUCUAUCCCGGGAUAAAAGCCUCAACACCAACCGGGAUAAAAGGGGGGUCAAAUGCCUCUCAGGAUCUUUUUUUCACACUAGCCUUUGCAACCGGGAUAAAAGGUCCCGGUUGGUGAGCCCCCCACAGUGAAAAGAAUAAUUCACAACAUACAGCACGAAAAAGAAGUUAAUAGAAAAACAUUAAUAUUAAAGUGGAAAAGAUGGUCACAACAGCUUAUGAGGGCAUCUCGAUUCUCCUAUACUCCUAACAGAGAAAGCCUAUUACCAGGUAAAGCUUUCCUGGUGCAUUGGAGAUGAAAGCUGGCACCAUGGAAUAAAACCUUAUAGGAAUGCUAUAGUAGAUGGAGUUUGUAUGACUUUAGUAGCACAACAAGGAAAAGCAAUAAAAAAUAAAUAUCAUCCAUAGAAGCUAAAUUGGCAGCGGGUCUUUCAUAUGAGAUCAAGCACACCAAAUAAUCCUUAUUAUCAAUUUUAAAUAAACAGGAAAGUCAAAGAGAGGGCGUUACUUACGUCCAUGAAAAAAGAUGUAUGAGGACGCACUCAGCUCCCUAACACCUAUUCUGGCAAGAAUUCCUCUGUCUGUGGCUGUUGAUAGCAUUACAGUGAGAUCAACAUGAGGAAGUGGAGUCUCAGGACAGAUUCCAUCAAACACUAUAAGCAAAGAUCCAGUUUUAUCAUCUCCACGUUCUUCACUAUCCAAUAGAGACCAGCCCUUCAACCUUCGUGUCACAGAGGUACCCAACAGUUCAAGUAUCUCUUUCUGCAUCAGAUCUGAUUUUCUUUGGAGUUCCUUAAUAGCAACAUAUAGCUUCUUUGGUUUGAGGACCUGAUAAAUGACCCCCUUCUAUCCCGGGAUAAAAGGCUCUCAACCCUUUUAUCCCGGUUGGUGUUACCAACCAGGAUAAAAGGGGGGUCAAAUGCCUCUCAGGAUCUUUUUUUCACACUAGCGUUUGCAACCGGGAUAAAAGGUCCCGGUUGGUGAGCCCCCCACAGUGAAAAGAAUAAUUCACAACAUACAGCACGAAAAAGAAGUUAAUAGAAAAACAUUAAUAUUAAAAUGGAAAAGAUGGUCACAACAGCUUAUGAGGGCAUCUCGAUUCUCCUAUACUCCUAACAGAGAAAGCCUAUUACCAGGUAAAGAUUUCCUGGUGCAUUGGAGAUGAAAGCUGGCACCAUGGAAUAAAACCUUAUAGGAAUGCUAUAGUAGAUGGAGUUUGUAUGACUUUAGUAGCACAACAAGAAAAAGCAAUAAAAAAUAAAUAUCAUCCAUAGAAGCUAAAUUGGCAGCGGGUCUUUCAUAUGAGAUCAAGCACACCAAAUAAUCCUCAUUAUCAAUUUUAAAUCAACAGGAAAGUCAAAGAGCGGGCGUUACUUACGUUCAUGAAAAAAGAUGUAUGAGGACGCACUCAGCUCCCAAACACCCAUUCUGGCAAGAAAUCCUCUGUCUGUGGCUGUUGAGAGCAUUACAGUGAGAUCAACAUGAGGAAGUGGAGUCUCAGGACAGAUUCCAUCAAACACUAUAAGCAAAGAUCCAGUUUUAUCAUCUCCAGGUUCUUCACUAUCCAAUAGAGACCAGCCCUUCAACCUUCGUGUCACAGAGGUACCCAACAGUUCAAGUAUCUCUUUCUGCAUCAGAUCUGAUUUUCUUUGGAGUUCCUUAAUAGCAACAUAUAGCUUCUUUGGUUUGAGGACCUGAUAAAUGACCCCCUUCUAUCCCGGGAUAAAAGGCUCUCGACCCUUUUAUCCCGGUUGGUCAAAUGCCUCUCAGGAUCUUUUUUUCACACUAGCCUUUGCAACCGGGAUAAAAGGUCCCGGUUGGUGAGCCCCCCACAGUGAAAAGAAUAAUUCACAACAUACAACACGAAAAAGAAGUUAAUAGAAAAACAUUAAUAUUAAAGUGGAAAAGAUGGUCACAAUAGCUUAUGAGGGCAUCUCGAUUCUCCUAUACUCCUAACAGAGAAAGCCUAUUACCAGGUAAAGCUUUCCUGGUGCAUUGGAGAUGAAAGCUGGCACCAUGGAAUAAAACCUUAUAGGAAUGCUAUAGUAGAUGGAGUUUGUAUGACUUUAGUAGCACAACAAGAAAAAGCAAUAAAAAAUAAAUAUCAUCCAUAGAAGCUAAAUUGGCAGCGGGUCUUUCAUAUGAGAUCAAGCACACCAAAUAAUCCUCAUUAUCAAUUUAAAUCAACAGGAAAGUCAAAGAGCGGACGUUACUUACGUCCAUGAAAAAAGAUGUAUGAGGACGCACUCAGCUCCCUAACACCCAUUCUGGCAAAAAUUCCUCUGUCUGUGGCUGUUGAUAGCAUUACAGUGAGAUCAACAUGCGGAAGUGGAGUCUCAGGACAGAUUCCAUCAAACACUAUAAGCAAAGAUCAAGUUUUAUCAUCUCCAGGUUCUUCACUAUCCAAUAGAGACCAGCCCUUCAACCUUCGUGUCACAGAGGUACCCAACAGUUCAAGUAUCUCUUUCUGCAUCAGAUCUGAUUUUCUUUGGAGUUCCUUAAUAGCAACAUAUAGCUUCUUUGGUUUGAGGACCUGAUAAAUGACCCCCUUCUAUCCCGGGAUAAAAUGCUCUCGACCCUUUUAUCCCGGUUGGUAACGGGGGGGUCUUUUAUCCCGGUUGGUGUUUCAAACCGGGAUAAAAUGCCUCUCAGGAUCUUUUUUCACACUAGCCUUUGCAACCGGGAUAAAAGGUCCCGGUUGGUGAGCCCCCCACAGUGAAAAGAAUAAUUCACAACAUACAGCACGAAAAAUAAGUUAAUAGAAAAACAUUAAUAUUAAAGUGGAAAAGAUGGUCACAACAGCUUAUGAGGGUAUCUCGAUUCUCCUAUACUCCUAAUAGAGAAAGCCUAUUACCAGGCAAAGCUUUCCUGGUGCAUUGGAGAUGAAAGCUGGCACCAUGGAAUAAAACCUUAUAGGAAUGUUAUAGUAGAUGGAGUUUGUAUGACUUUAGUAGCACAACAAGGAAAAGCAAUAAAAAAGAAAUAUCAUCUAUAGAAGCUAAAUUGGCAGCGGGUCUUUCAUAUGAGAUCAAGCACACCAAAUAAUCCUCAUUAUCAAUUUUAAAUCAACAGGAAAGUCAAAGAGAGGGCGUUACUUACGUCCAUGAAAAAAGAUGUAUGAGGACGCACUCAGCUCCCUAACACCCAUUCUGGCAAGAAUUCCUCUGUCUGUGGCUGUUGAUAGCAUUACAGUGAGAUCAACAUGAGGAAGUGGAGUCUCAGGACAGAUUCCAUCAAACACGAUAAGCAAAGAUCCACUUUUAUCAUCUCCAGGUUCUUCAAUGUCCAAUAUAGAAAAGCCCUUCAACCUUCGUGUCACAGAGGUACCCAACAGUUCAAGUAUCUCUUUCUGCAUCAGAUCUGAUUUUCUUUGGAGUUCUUUAAUAGCAACAUAUAGCUUCUUUGGUUUGGGAACCUGAUAAAUGACCCCCUUCUAUCCCGGGAUAAAAGGCUCUCGACCAUUUUAUCCCGGUUUGGAAUAAAAGGUGGGGGUCUUUUAUCCCGGUUGGUGUUUCAAACCGGGAUAAAAUGCCUCUUAGGAUCUUUUUUUCACACUAGCCUUUGCAACCGGGAUAAAAGGUCCAGGUUGGUGAGCCCCGCACAGUGAAAAGAAUAAUUCACAACAUACAGCAUGAAAAAGAAGUUAAUAGAAAAAACAUUAAUAUUAAAGUGGAAAAGAUGGUCACAACAACUUAUGAGGGCAUCUCGAUUCUCCCAUACUCCUAACAGAGAAAGCCUAUUACCAUGUAAAGCUUUCCUGGUGCAUUGGAGAUGAAAGCUGGCACCAUGGAAUAAACCUUAUAGGAAUGCUAUAGUAAAUAGAGUUUGUAUGACUUUAGUAGCACAACAAGAAAAAGCAAUAAAAAAUAAAUAUCAUCCAUAGAAGCUAAAUUGGCAGCGGGUCUUUCGUAUGAGAUCAAGCACAGCAAAUAAUCCUCAUUAUCAAUUUUAAAUCAACAGGAAAGUCAAAGAACGGGCGUUACUUACGUCCAUGAAAAAAGAUGUAUGAGGACGCACUCAGCUCCCUAACACCCAUUCUGGCAAGAAUUCCUCUGUCUGUGGCUGUUGAUAGCAUUACACUGAGAUCAACAUGAGGAAGUGGAGUCUCAGGACAGAUUCCAUCAAACACUAUAAGCAAAGAUCCACUUUUAUCAUCUCCAGGUUCCUCAGUGUCCAAUAGAGACCAGUCCUUCAACCUUCGUGUCACAGAGGUACCCAACAGUUCUAGUAUCUCUUUCUGCAUCAGAUCUGAUUUUCUUUAGAGUUCCUUAAUAGCAACAUAUAGCUUCUUUGGUUUGAGGACCUGAUAAAUGACCCCCUUCUAUCCCGGGAUAAAAGGACCAAUCGGGAUAAAAGGGGGGUCUUUUAUCCCGGUUGGUGUUUCAAACCGGGAUAAAAUGCCUCUCAGGAUCUUUUUAUCACACUAGCCUUUGCAACCGGGAUAAAAGGUCCCGGUUGGUGAGCCCCCCACAGUGAAAAGAAUAAUUCACAACAUACAGCACGAAAAAGAAGUUAAUAGAAAAACAUUAAUAUUAAAGUGGAAAAGAUGGUCACAACAGCUUAUGAGGGCAUCUCGAUUCUCCUAUACUCCUAAUAGAGAAAGCCUAUUACCAGGCAAUGCUUUCCUGGUGCAUUGGAGAUGAAAGCUGGCACCAUGGAAUAAAACCUUAUAGGAAUGUUAUAGUAGAUGGAGUUUGUAUGACUUUAGUAGCACAACAAGGAAAAGCAAUAAAAAAGAAAUAUCAUCUAUAGAAGCUAAAUUUGCAGCGGGUCUUUCAUAUGAGAUCAAGCACACCAAAUAAUCCUCAUUAUCAAUUUUAAAUCAACAGGAAAGUCAAAGAGAGGGCGUUACUUACGUCCAUGAAAAAAGAUGUAUGAGGACGCACUCAGCUCCCUAACACCCAUUCUGGCAAGAAUUCCUCUGUCUGUGGCUGUUGAUAGCAUUACAGUGAGAUCAACAUGAGGAAGUGGAGUCUCAGGACAGAUUCCAUCAAACACGAUAAGCAAAGAUCCACUUUUAUCAUCUCCAGGUUCUUCAAUGUCCAAUAUAGAAAAGCCCUUCAACCUUCGUGUCACAGAGGUACCCAACAGUUCAAGUAUCUCUUUCUGCAUCAGAUCUGAUUUUCUUUGGAGUUCUUUAAUAGCAACAUAUAGCUUCUUUGGUUUGGGAACCUGAUAAAUGACCCCCUUCUAUCCCGGGAUAAAAGGCUCUCGACCAUUUUAUCCCGGUUUGGAAUAAAAGGUGGGGGUCUUUUAUCCCGGUUGGUGUUUCAAACCGGGAUAAAAUGCCUCUUAGGAUCUUUUUUUCACACUAGCCUUUGCAACCGGGAUAAAAGGUCCCGGUUGGUGAGCCCCGCACAGUGAAAAGAAUAAUUCACAACAUACAGCAUGAAAAAGAAGUUAAUAGAAAAAACAUUAAUAUUAAAGUGGAAAAGAUGGUCACAACAACUUAUGAGGGCAUCUCGAUUCUCCCAUACUCCUAACAGAGAAAGCCUAUUACCAUGUAAAGCUUUCCUGGUGCAUUGGAGAUGAAAGCUGGCACCAUGGAAUAAACCUUAUAGGAAUGCUAUAGUAAAUAGAGUUUGUAUGACUUUAGUAGCACAACAAGAAAAAGCAAUAAAAAAUAAAUAUCAUCCAUAGAAGCUAAAUUGGCAGCGGGUCUUUCGUAUGAGAUCAAGCACAGCAAAUAAUCCUCAUUAUCAAUUUUAAAUCAACAGGAAAGUCAAAGAGAGGGCGUUACUUACGUCCAUGAAAAAAGAUGUAUGAGGACGCACUCAGCUCCCUAACACCCAUUCUGGCAAGAAUUCCUCUGUCUGUGGCUGUUGAUAGCAUUACACUGAGAUCAACAUGAGGAAGUGGAGUCUCAGGACAGAUUCCAUCAAACACUAUAAGCAAAGAUCCACUUUUAUCAUCUCCAGGUUCCUCAGUGUCCAAUAGAGAACCAGCCCUUCAACCUUCGUGUCACAGAGGUACCCAACAGUUCUAGUAUCUCUUUCUGCAUCAGAUCUGAUUUUCUUUGGAGUUCCUUAAUAGCAACAUAUAGCUUCUUUGGUUUGAGGACCUGAUAAAUGACCCCCUUCUAUCCCGGGAUAAAAGGCUCUCGACCCUUUUAUCCCGGUUUAUCCCGGUUGGUAACACCAACCGGGAUAAAAGGGGGGGUCUUUUAUACCGGUUGGUGUUUCAAACCGGGAUAAAAUGCCUCUGAGGAUCUUUUUUUCACACUAGCCUUUGCAACCGGGAUAAAAGGUCCCGGUUGGUGAGCCCCCCACAGUGAAAAGAAUAAUUCACAACAUACAGCAUGAAAAAGAAGUUAAUAGAAAAAACAUAAAUAUUAAAGUGGAAAAGAUGGUCACAACAGCUUAUGAGGGCAUCUCGAUUCUCCUAUACUCCUAAAUAUAACAGAGAAAGCCUAUUACCAGGUAAAGCUUUCCUUGUGCAUUGGAGAUGAAAGCUGGCACCAUGGAAUAAAACCUUAUAGGAAUGCUAUAGUAGAUGGAGUUUGUAUGACUUUAGUAGCACAACAAGAAAAAGAAAUAAAAAAUAAAUAUCAUCCAUAGAAGCUAAAUUGGCAGCGGGUCUUUCGUAUGAGAUCAAGCACAGCAAAUAAUCCUCAUUAUCAAUUUAAAAUCAACAGGAAAGUCAAAGAGCGGGCGUUACUUACGUCCAUGAAAAAAGAUGUAUGAGGACGCACUCAGCUCCCUAACACCCAUUCUGGCAAGAAUUCCUCUGUCUGUGGCUGUUGAUAGCAUUACACUGAGAUUAACAUGAGGAAGUGGAGUCUCAGGACAGAUUCCAUCAAACACUAUAAGCAAAGAUCCACUUUUAUCAUCUCCAGGUUCCUCAGUGUCCAAUAGAGACCAGCCCUUCAACCUUCGUGUCACAGAGGUACCCAACAGUUCUAGUAUCUCUUUCUGCAUCAGAUCUGAUUUUCUUUGGAGUUCCUUAAUAGCAACAUAUAGCUUCUUGGGUUUGAGGACCUGAUAAAUGACCCCCUUCUAUCCCGGGAUAAAAGGCUCUCGACCCUUUUAUCCCGGUUGGUGUUACCAACCGGAAUAAAAGGGGGGGUCUUUUAUCCCGGUUGGUGUUUCAAACCGGGAUAAAAUGCUUCUCAGGAUCUUUUUUUCACACUAGCCUUUGCAACUGGGAUAAAAGGUACCGGUUGGUGAGCCCCCCACAGUGAAAAGAAUAAUUCACAACAUACAGCAUGAAAAAGAAGUUAAUAGAAAAAACAUUAAUAUUAAAGUGGAAAAGAUGGUCACAACAGCUUAUGAGGGCAUCUCGAUUCUCCUAUACUCCUAACAGAGAAAGCCUAUUACCAGGUAAAGCUUUCCUGGUGCAUUGGAGAUGAAAGCUGGCACCAUGGAAUAAAACCUUAUAGGAAUGCUAUAGUAGAUGGAGUUUGUAUGACUUUAGUAGCACAACAAGAAAAAGCAAUAAAAAAUAAAUAUCAUCCAUAGAAGCUAAAUUGGCAGCGGGUCUUUCAUAUGAGAUCAAGCACAGCAAAUAAUCCUCAUUAUCAAUUUUAAAUCAACAGGAAAGUCAAAGAACGGGCGUUACUUAUGUCCAUGGAAAAAGAUGUAUGAGGACGCACUCAGCUCCCCAACACCCAUUCUGGCAAGAAUUCCUCUGUCUGUGGCUGUUGAUAGCAUUACAGUGAGAUCAACAUGAGGAAGUGGAGUCUCAGGACAGAUUCCAUCAAACACUAUAAGCAAAGAUCCAGUUUUAUCAUCUCCAGGUUCUUCAAUGUCCAAUAGAGACCAGCCCUUCAACCUUCGUGUCACAGAGGUACCCAACAGUUCGAGUAUCUCUUUCUGCAUCAGAUCUGAUUUUCUUUGGAGUUCCUUAAUAGCAACAUAUAGCUUCUUUGGUUUGAGGACCGGAUAAGUGACCCCCUUUUAUCCCGGUUGGUAUUACAAACUGGGAUAAAAGGCUCUCGACCCUUUUAUCCCGGUUGGUGUUGUCUUUUAUCCCGGUUGGUGUUUCAAAUCGGGAUAAAAUGCCUCUCAGGAUUUUUUUUCACACUAGCCUUUGCAACCAGGAUAAAAGGUCCCGGUUGGUGAGCCCCCCACCGUGACAGAGCUUUAGUCCCGGUUGGUAAACCUUUUAUCCCGGUCCAACUUUAAACCGGGAUAAAAGGGAACACAUUGAAAGCUAAUUCUCUACUUAGUGCCGUGGCUGAUGGGAGCUGUGGAUGCGGUGUGCUAGUGCUAGCUUUAGCCGUGGUGUUGCUGGUGUCUCGGAUUUUGCACGGAGAGGGAGUGGCCGUGUAUGGCGCGGGCUUUAUAGCGCGCGGCCAGCAGAGGGCGGUCUGGCGGCACGCGGCGCGGCGAGGCCGGGAGCGUGCACCGGCUGCGGCGCUGCGUGCAUGGCGCCCCCGCGGCACGGGCUCCCGGCGGGCACAGUCAGCACUCGGCAGCCGCGCGGCGCCCCACUCCACCGGCCGCGCGCCGCUGACGGGUGCCGUGGCCCCGUGGCAGUGGCCGCAACGGCCUCACGCCCCGGUGGCGCCAAGCGUGCGCGCGCGACGUGGAGGUGAGGGCCACACAACCUCGGGCAGUCGGGCGCGCGCAGUGGGGACUGGGGACGAGGGAGGGGAGGGCCACAGCCGGGCGCGAGCGACGCUGAUGCAGCAAGAAAGCAGGAAGAUGAUAUCUCAGCGAUUUUCUUGGGAUUGAUUCGAUUUCAAUCGUGCGUACGGGCGGCAAAGUGGGAUUCGGGGACGCGACGAUUGUCUGGGCCAAGCAAAAAGCACAUGCACCACAGCAGUGGCAUGAGUUACAGCAAAGGCAAUUGGGUGGAGAAAUCCACGAUACCUAGAUGCAAACGGUCCUUUUCUCCAUUGCAAGUUCAGAGUCAGUUUAUUUUUUUAAUGCGCAAGCCAUUUUAUAAUCUGAUAUGCCUUUUAGGGUUGGGCUAGGAUUUGUUCCGUAAAAGAUGUGUUAGGUCUUUCUUAUGCCUCAGUCACUUUUCAUGAAUUUGCAAUUUUGCAUACUGAUCUGAAAAUUUUCCGAGGUAAAAGUAGAAAAUGUUUCUGAUUCACGGUAAAAAUAAUAAAUUUUAAAUAGAAAAUUAUUAUGGUUCGUUCUAUAGAAUAUAGCUUACGCAAAACAACACUAUAAGAAAUCUGUUAAUCUAUAAUGAUUUUUUCUCGUGACGUUUUCACUCCCUAACGUAUCAAGGAUCGACUGCGUCACCUCCUAACGUAUCAAGGAUCAACUACGUCACCCCCUUAAUUAUAAAAUCGGGUUUUUAAUCUCCCUCACUUUUUCAAAACCGUUUAAAAGACCCUAAAGUGGUUUUGCCACUCUAGCACGUUGAUGUACUGUGGACUGAGAUGCUGAUGUGGAUCGCUGACAUCUGAGUUCCCACUAACUUCCACGGAUCACGCGUGUGCUGGUCCUGUGCAAGCCGCGCCUCCAGCCCUACGACUCCCCACACGGUGCCAUCCUCCCCACGCGGCUCCCCAGGUUCUCCGGCGACCGCCACCUCUACGACGCGCAGGACGAGUCCAUCCAGGUAGAGGCUACGCAGCCUGGCCUCCGAUUCGUCGUCCAACGCUUGCCGCAACUCUAGCAUUACCAGCUGCGGCCGACGAGGCUGCCGGACUUGGGCAGUAUGAUGAACCGCGGCAGGACACCCUCCAACAUAAGCAGCCCCUCGUCCUUUUGCAGUGCUUCAAGAAGCUUGUCCACGGCCGGGUUCUUCACCUUGGUGUGCCCGGCACAACCAUCAUGCCAGUGAAAGUCCUUUGAAGCUGGAGUCAUAAGACCACAGAUAUGUUGGUCCAUCAUCAUACAAGAACACGAGAUGCUCGCAAAAAGUCCCAGGCACUCGAUUUUGAAAAUGUGAUCGAAUCAUGAUCCUCACAUCUCCUGGAAUGGAAGUGUGGAAUCGAGCAACUCUCCAAUGCGCGUAAACGACUAAACACAACACAAACAUUAUUACAAAAAGGAAACUGAAUAAGAAAACACCAACACAGAUGUCGAAUCAAUUGAGUCCAGCUGCCGGCAAGCCGGUCAAAGUGGCAUUGCCUAAACCAUCCCUUGCCAUGAAGAAGGCUUACACAGACAGGAUCAUUAGAAGGUGGGCAACUUGAUCCUGUUCGUGCACUUGCUCUUCAUCGGCUGCGUCCAGUCGAUGAACUCCUUACCCGCACGAUCGAGUGCCCGGCAGGGGCGGAGCUUAGUGUAGUGUAAAGGGGGUCAUGGCCACCCCUGGCUAUUGGAAAUAUCCACUAUAUGAAUAGUAAAUCAGCUAGUGUUCAUUGAUUUUCAGAGCAAAUUAGCAUAGCUGGCCCCCCGGAUUUGUUGCUGAAGCUCCGUCACUGGUGCCCGGGAAAGAUGAAAUGACAAACAUUACUAAGUUAGUCAAAACAAAAUUCUUAAUGCAUAUGAGAACCUGCCAAGAAAGAUGACUCGUGUUUAAACCUUCAAAGGCCCCUACUACAUUUUUCAUAACAGGGUAUAUCUCCAAAUAAAUCAUUAACCAAAUUUGGAAUACGCAAAUAAAUCAUGUUCGUAAAUGGAAUAAGUAAUCAGAUAUCUGGCUGGCUUCCUCAUGCGGAUAGUAUCUUGUAGAGAUGUAACUGACUUGCGUCAUAAUUAACCAGAAGCUGUUUGGAACAGAUUCAAGAAUCUUUAUAAACUAGCCAUCCCCUAAUAAAAUGUCUGCAUAAUAACAAAAUGAAUAAGCCAUCAUAUUCGAGGAUGAGCAUUGCUGUGAAUCCAAUAUAGGAGAGCAUUGUUGUGAAUCCAAUAUAGGAUAUUAGAAAUCAUGGUUACUUUCCUCUAUAGAUGUAUCCCUAUUUUUUUUAAAAAUACUAAUAAUUCGGGAAAAUGGUAGAAUGGCAUGGAAUGAUAAAUCACUAUGCCAAAAAGGUUGAUACCAACGAGAUGUUCCAAACCAUGUAAUAUUUAAAUUUUUUUACUAUCCCCUCUCCAGAAAAAUUGUGAUAUGAUUGUGUCCAUUUGGCAGUGUGUUCCUUCAUAGAACUAAGAACAUGCCCAUUAGAUAAAUGGGCAUCCUACUUAUUUAUUUACCUUAUUUUAGGAAUGAAUAAUAUUCAACAUAUAUUCACUUACUCUCAUAUUUUAUAGGGCAUGCUAGAAUCUGAAAAGGUCAAUCUUUAUGAACUUUAGCUAAUAAUUAGUCAAUGUUUAUACAUCUUUAGUGUACAAAAGUUAUAUCAAUAAAUUCAUAUUUUAAAUAUCUUGUGAUAUGACAUUGAUUUUUAUUAUCAGGUAAUAUAUGUAAGAGAAGUUAUAUUCAAUAAUGAAGACAUCCCCAAAUCCUAGUACGCUCUACAAAAAGAAACGCAGAGUGCAUUUGGUGAAGUAGAAUAAAAAAAGACCAUAGUGGCAACAUGAAUGCAAUGUUAUAACUUAAGUUUGUUUAUCCUAAGUUUGAUCAAGUCUAUAGAGUUUUUCGAACUAAACAAGUCUAUCGGGUAUAUUAACUUAUGCUACAUCAAAUAAGUAAACUAUAAAAAUAUAUUUCAAAAUUUCAUAAUGGAUCUAAUAUAUAUGGUGCUCAUUUGAACUCAUAACAAAAAUUAUAUCGGGCAGUAGUCUGUUUUUUUAAUCAGUUCUCCUGUGGAGCACUUUAAGUUUAUGUUUAAGUUUUCCCCUUUUCAAAGAGAUGGCAAUGUGUUCAGAAGCAUACAUGUUCUUGGGGUGUGGCACGCCUAAUUAAGUACAAUUCAAAGACAGAAACCAUUAAAUGAUCACGUUUUAUGAUAAAAUAAAAAUUACACACAUAAAUUCGAAAGCACUACCUAAGCAAUUGUAACCCCUGAUACUUUCAUGUCCAUGCGUGUAGUACAAAUUGACACAGUCUGGACAUAGUAUCUUCGUAAUAUGAGGAAAACAAACACUCUAAUUAAUAGAGAUACAAUUGAGCGUACCUUUGUCCAGAGAAGAAAUUGGUGUGCCCAAGAGGUUGGAGGACGCUCUCAACCCUCUGUUGGCCGCGUAGACACUCCACAUACCACGGUCCGUACACGGAUGCAUGCAAUGACCAAACUACAAGGAGCUAUGAGAGAGAGGCGACAAUUCACUUCCAAUAAAUAAGAGUAUAGGUAGUAAAAAGUAGGUGCCGACGUACAAACACUGAAGAAAAAUUAGUUUCAGUUUAUUGCAUCAUGAGAUCCGAAGUACAGACCUAACUCGAUGUCUUUUACUGCUUGCAUAGGCUAGCCUGCAUGAACUCUAGCUUAGUCCUGGGACAAAAACCAUACUUAACUGCCUCAUAAGCUACACGAGAAUACAUCAUAAUAUAGGAAGCCUAGCUACCUAAAACCGAUCGAAUUAUUAGCAAGCAGCAGCGGCGGCACUCCAAUUCCGGUGUGAUAUCAGUAAUAGUGAGCUGAGCCACCACGCGCACCAGAUCGCAUAACGUACACCAGUUUCAUCAGACGGUGUCUCUUUAUCAGGCAGCAGGAGCGCAGUCAUAGUCGUCAUCGUCGUCGUCGUCUGUCUCCGGCAUCCUUCCUCGCGUGCUGCGCCACCCAUCGCAAGGCGCGGCGUAAACGGCGCCCGAGGAGGACGCAAUGCUGCCGCCUUGGACGAGGAAGCUUACCGCCUCCGCCGACACUGGUACCAUGGCAGUUUUUAAGUGUGCGUGCAAGCGAGCUGCAAGUUACUACCAAAUUAAUUGAUGCCGCGCGCAGCAAGCUCUUGCUUGCUCGAGGUAGAAGAAGCUGCUACUGUGGCUGAUGGGAGCUGUGGAUGCGGUGGGUCUGCUAGUGCUUGCUUAGCUGUGGUGUUGCUGGUGUCUGUGAUUUUGCACGGAGAGGGAGUGGCCGCGUGUGGCGCGGGC